ensembl:lncRNA
GUUUGGUGUAAAUGGGAUACAGAUUAAACAGACAGCAAAACCGGUUUCACAUUGAUUGACCUUAAUGGCAAUCAGGCCUACCCCGAGUACCUGAUCACCUAUCAGAUCACGAAACCCGACACACCUGCAGACGGAUGACGGACGAGACCAAACAGGAAGUAGGAAGAGAACGGGAGGCGGGAGGACAGGAAAGGGAAGUAAAGAAGAACAACGCGGAACCGCGGCUUCACUAACUGCAUGCGUACAAACAUGAAACCUUUAUUUAUACAAUGUAUAAAACACAUGAGGUUUGUUACCAAUGGGCGAUGUGAAAUCCGUAUCUUUAUAAUGUCUACUUGUUUCUAACUACUUAUUUAUAUUUAUAUUUAUUUAUUGCGUGAGUGUCUAAUGGGUGUUUAAUGGGUGCUCACAGCAGGCUGGGUUAUUUUCAUCAGCUCCACGGGUUGACUUGUGCUGAGACACAAAAAGGGCUGUGUUGUGAAAGCACUGUGCUACUGCUGUUCUGUGUGGUUUACUUAAUCAAGUGUACAUAGUUAUUGUACGUAACUCGUGAACGCAAGACAUUCCAACGACGUGUUUUGAUUUGACGUUAUCGCGUUGCUUCUGUUGUGGUUUCUAUCACGUGUAUUUUUUUUUAUAACGACAAAUACUUGGGGGGACAAAGGACAAAUUCUAGAGGACUAGUUGCUCAGUUUGACCAACGAUUGCAUAAAAAUAAUGGUUUCUAGAGAAUUCUUGGCUUUUGUUCCUUAUUUAUUGAACUAUCCUUUCUUUGUACUUGCAUGGUGCUCUCUCAGUAUUUGUAAGGAGAAUGUGUCCAUCAGAUAAUUGUUUUUGUACAACGUUGGUGACUUGGUAAAGCCGAUGGCUGUUUACAUGAUUUGCCUGAGCAAGACAUUAUUAGUAAUAGGAUGCCGCUCCGAUAGCCUCUUGACGUAGCAGGAUAGCCUACACCUAUCAAUAUAAUUGAUAAGCAUAUUACUUAUAUGCUCUGCCUCCAGCCUCAGUUUGCUCUCUGCCCAACAUUAAGGUCCAAUUAAAAUCCUUGCUGGUGAAGCACCCAUAUUUAUUUGCCGGUAAGAUGUUUUUAAAUGAGUGCUGUAUGUAUCUAUCUAUCUACAUGUAUAUAGAUAUACAAUGCAAAAUGAAAAGGAAUGUAGCAUCCUUAAACUACUCUGAUUGGGUUUGAGCCGGGUCUGGUGCUGUGGUGUGUCAGUUGAAAUGACUACUCCAAUGCAUGGUACAGUGUGUGUUUGGUUUGCAGUGCAUUGUGGUAUAUUGUGUUGUUUCUGUGGUGCCUAAAGGGGCCUGGAAGGGUCUAAAGGUGGUCUAACUUUGUUUUGAUAUGAUCAAUACGGUGUCAAAGACGGGGUUGCCAGAUCUAACAAGAAAGCUAUGCCACACCUCAAAAUAUGCUCAAACUACAGGUCAUGUGUGUGCCUUAUUCUGUGUCCUGAUUUAAAUGUUCGAGAAUAAGCAGUUUCUGUAAACGUAACUAAUUCAAACUAAAUGAAGUCUAAUAUGAGUUCAUGGGAAAGGACCAUAGUGUCAGGUUCUAAGAUCGAGCACUAACCCUUAAGGAUAAUGCUUGAUUUUGUUUUUCGAGAGAUGUGUAUUCUGUUUCUUGUCAAAUCUGGCAACGCUACCUUUAGUGAAGGCAAACUACGAAUCAGAAUAUGGCUGGAGUCCAACCCUUGUUGAACCUCUGCUGUGCAGAUCAGCAGGAAACUCUUGGUUGGAUUAACAAGAGGUAUAUUCAAUGUUAAUAAUUUAACUAUGUUACAAAAAGGAAAGUUACAUGAAAGGGAUUGUAUUUAUGUGUAAUUUAAUAAGAUCAACAUAUUUGAGAUAUUUUCUUUUAUUAUUUCAUAUUUCAUAACCUAUUCCCUCAGACUUCAGGUCAGAAGACAAUCCCAGGACUAUGAAGGUAGCCCAUGUGUAAUUUAAAGCAGAGUGUAUGCACAUGUACCACUUCUAUUCAGCUAACAACAUACCCAUUAUAUUUGGUGAUGCACCAGAGUUUAAAGGACCAAAUCUAUGAAUGAAUAUAAAUGCAAUGUACCUGAAUUGUACAGGGCUGUUGUCAUUUGAAAUAAACACAUGUCUCUGUAUCUCCUAAA